CAAAGCUUAUAUAAUUUAAUUAUUAUGUUGUAUCCCCAUUCGAUAAACUGUACCCCCAUUCCUAAACAUGUGUAAUAAAUUUACCGCUUUCAUUUACUUUACUCUACUAGUUGAUUUUGUUAACAGAAGAUUAAAAUCAACCCCUUUAGAAAAGAACAAAAACAAACACUCGAUCCAACGUCGAGUCUUCUUUCCCAAAUCAAAUCCAAAUUGAUUGCAAAGUCGAGC
rnacentral:lncRNA from 1 species